GCAAGUCGAACGAGAAAGUCACUUCGGUGGCGAGUAGAGUGGCGCACGGGUGAGUAACGCGUCGUUUAUAUGCCUGUUAGUGGGGGACAACAUCGUGAAAACGGUGCUAAUACCGCAUAAGCUUGGUGACAUUGAAAAAACCAAGGAAAGGGGGCUUCGGCUCUCGCUGACAGAUUGGCCUGCGUAGCAUUAGCUUGUUGGUGGGGUAACGGCCUACCAAGGCGACGAUGCUUAACUGGUCUGAGAGGAUGAUC
rnacentral:rRNA from 1 species